CCCAGAAAAAAUCUGAGGCGUAGCCUGCUCAGUGAUUUAAAAACAACCUAAAGGUUGUAAAAACAAUUAAAAAGACGCAGUAUAAUGACUGUGAUAAUGUAGCGUAAUAAUUCGCCACCUAAUUAGUGGAUAGUAUGAAUGGCUAAACGAAUCUUUAACUGUCUUAAUAAGAGAAAAAUGAAAUUUAAAUAAUAGUUAAGAUGCUAUUUUAGAUUGUAAGACGAAAAGACCCUAUAGAGCUUAACUAUAAGUUCUUAAUUAGAGAACUAGGUAGUUUAGUUGGGGCGACUAACUUCUAAAAAUAACGAAGAUAUGCAAAGUUAAUUAUAAACUUACUGUAAAACAUAUAAAUUUAACAGUUAUCAAAGUAGGCAAUAAGACCCGUUAUUGUUAAGUAAUAAAGAUAACGAUUAAUAAAUAAAAGCUACCUUAGGGAUAACAGGAUAAUUUUGCUAAAAAGACCGAAUUGAAAGCAAAGUUUGUCACCUCUAUGUUGAAUUAAGAUAACCCGACAGAGCAGAAUUUGUCAAAGGUAGGUCUGUUCGACCUUUAAAAU
rnacentral:rRNA from 1 species